GGAUAGCUCAGUCAGUAGAGCAUGGAACUCUUAAUCUCAGGGUUGUGGAUUCGAGUUCCAUGUUGUGCA
rnacentral:tRNA from 1 species